GCGGAAUUUACUCUCGAGGGAGUUGGCUGAUUGUUAAUCCUGAUGGGGUGAUGUAGGUGUGGUUGGUGGUGAUUUCAACAUGGUUCUGAGUCGAAAUGAGCGCUCUAGGGAUCACUUCUCUGGAUCUAUUGCAUCUGAAUUCAAAGAUAAUUUGGAGGCUCUUAAUCUGGCUGAUAUCACACUGAUGGGUGGCUCUUGGACUUAAGAGUAACUAGCGAGAAUCACCUACUUUCUCCAGAAUUGAUUGAUAUCUAGUUGAUCUAUCUCUCAUUCUCAUAUUGAUUGUCGGGUUUAUGUCAAAAGGGCUAAAACUUGAUUUCAAGGAGAUGGUCAGAAGGCUAUGGAAUAGUUCAAGAAUUGAAGGAUCAACAAGCUUCAUCAUUGCAUCUAAACUCAAAAUUCUGAAAUCUGAAAUCAAAAUUUGGACCAGAGAGGUGGGUCUGAAAGAGGAAGGCUAUAAAAGAGAUAUUGGAAGAACUAAAUGCAUCGGAGAGACAAGAAGGUGUCUCAGGACUAAACUCGGUGGAAAGUAGUAAAAGAAACCAACUGAAAUUUGACUUGGCUGACAGGCUCCAUAUGGGGGCGAUAUCCUGGAAACAAAAAUCCAGAGAAAAGUGGCUUAAAGGAGACAGGAAUACAAAAUUUUUUCACUAUCUUGUGAAUCGUGGAAGAAGAAUAAAUUAUGUUGAGAAUUUGAAUUUUGUGGGGGAAAUUAUAUAUAAGAAUGAUGUAAUGAGGGAAGCUGCAAAAGAGUUUUAUCAACAGUGGUACACCGAAGAAUUUUCUCUCUACUUGAAGCUUGACAAUCUACACUUUGAUAAGCUUGAUAGCUCCACCUCCAAAUUGCUAGAAGAGGAGUUCUCUGAAAAAGAGAUUUUCACUGUCUUGUGAAUCGUAGGAGAAGAAUAAAUUAUGUUGAGAAUUUGAAUUUUGUGGGGGAAAUUAUAUAUAAGAAUGAUGUGAUGAGGGAAGCUGCGAAAGAGUUUUAUCAACAGUGGUACACUGAAGAAUUUUCUCUCUGCUUGAAGCUUGACAACCUACACUUUGAUAAGCUUGAUAGCUCCACCUCCAAAUUGCUAGAAGAGGAGUUCUCUGAAAAAGAGAUUUUGGCUGCUCUACAGAACUGUAAUGGAGACAAAACUCUAGACCCGGAUGGUUUUAAUAUCAAAUUUUUAUAGACUUCCUAGAAUCUAAUUAAAGAGGAUGUGAUUGGUCUCUUCAAGGAAUUCCAUUGGGAUGGGACUUUUGUCAAAUCCUUUAACUCCA